rnacentral:sRNA from 1 species
CUGAAAGGACGUUUGCGGGUCCGUGGCCCGUGC